rnacentral:lncRNA from 1 species
AUCCAGAGAAGGCGGUGGGGAGGCAGGCAUCUCCUGGGAGGAGCUGCAGCAGAGUAACAGCUGACAUCCAUUGGGUGCUCACUACUUGCGGUCGUCCCCACAAGCAGCUGGCGAUGUGGAUACUAUUGUUAUGCCCAUUUUACAGCUGAACUGUGGGAUGAAAGGACAAAGCCCAGUUAUUUAACUUUUCAUCACUGGGCCAAGUGAAAGAGAAACUGGACAUCCACCUGUCCUGCGGCUGCAGAGGGGAGUCCACCUGAUGGGGAGAAGGUGGAGUUUGGGCUUCGUGACCUUCAAGGCUCGCCACUCCCGACGCC